rnacentral:rRNA from 1 species
AAAUUGAAGAGUUUGAUCAUGGCUCAGAUUGAACGCUGGCGGCAGGCCUAACACAUGCAAGUCGAACGGUAACAGGAAGCAGCUUGCUGCUUUGCUGACGAGUGGCGGACGGGUGAGUAAUGUCUGGGAAACUGCCUGAUGGAGGGGGAUAACUACUGGAAACGGUGGCUAAUACCGCAUAACGUCGCAAGACCAAAGAGGGGGACCUUCGGGCCUCUUGCCAUCAGAUGUGCCCAGAUGGGAUUAGCUUGUUGGUGAGGUAACGGCUCACCAAGGCGACG